rnacentral:rRNA from 1 species
GGCGGCGUGCUUAACACAUGCAAGUGGAGCGACGAACCGGGCUUGCCCCGGGGCAGAGCCGCGAACGGGUGAGUAACACGUGGGUAACCUGCCUCAAUGAUUGGGACAACCCGGGGAAACUCGGGCUAAUACCAAAUGUGUUCACUCCUUCUAAGGGGAGUGAGGAAAGGAAGCUUCGGCCUCCGCAUUGAGAUGGGCCCGCGGCCCAUUAGCUUGUUGGUGAGGUAACGGCUCACCAAGGCUUCGAUGGGUAGCUGGUCUGAGAGGACGAUCAGCCACACUGGGACUGAGACACGGCCCAGACUCCUACGGGAGGCAGCAGUGGGGAAUCUUGCACAAUGCGCGAAAGCGUGAUGCAGCAACGCCGCGUGGGGGAAGACGGCCUUCGGGUUGUAAACCCCUUUCAGUUGGGACGAAGCUUCGUCGGUGAAUAGCCGGUUGGAGUGACGGUACCUUCAGAAGAAGCCCCGGCUAACUACGUG